GACGAACGCUGGCGGCGUGCUUAACACAUGCAAGUCGAACGGAAAGGCCCUGCUUUUGUGGGAUGCUCGAGUGGCGAACGGGUGAGUAACACGUGAGUAACCUGCCCUUGACUUUGGGAUAACUUCAGGAAACUGGGGCUAAUACCGGAUAUGAGCUCCUGCUGCAUGGUGGGGGUUGGAAAGUUUCGGCGUUUGGGGAUGGACUCGCGGCUUAUCAGCUUGUUGGUGGGGUAGUGGCUUACCAAGGCUUUGACGGGUAGCCGGCCUGAGAGGGUGACCGGCCACAUUGGGACUGGGAUACGGCCCAGACUCCUACGGGAGGCAGCAGUGGAGAAUAGUGCACAAUGGGCGGAAGCCUGAUGCAGCAACGCCGCGUGCGGGAUGACGGCCGUCGGGUUGUAAACCGCGUUCGCCUGUGACGAAGCGUGAGUGACGGUAAUGGGUAAAGAAGCACCGGCUAACUACGUG
rnacentral:rRNA from 1 species